UUUCUAAGGCAGCACAUAUACUCAAAUUGGAAUGAUAUAGAGAAGAUUAGCAUGGCCUCUGCGUAAGGAUGACAUGAAAAUUCAUGGAGUGUUCCAUAUUUUU